rnacentral:rRNA from 1 species
UACGAAGGGGGCUAGCGUUGUUCGGAUUUACUGGGCGUAAAGCGCACGUAGGCGGAUCGAUCAGUCAGGGGUGAAAUCCCAGGGCUCAACCCUGGAACUGCCUUUGAUACUGUCGAUCUGGAGUAUGGAAGAGGUGAGUGGAAUUCCGAGUGUAGAGGUGAAAUUCGUAGAUAUCGGGAGGAACACCAGUGGCGAAGGCGGCUACCUGGCCCACUCUUGACGCUGAGGCGCGAAAGCUAGGGGAGCAAACGGG